GAUGAACGCUAGCUACAGGCUUAACACAUGCAAGUCGAGGGGCAGCAUGUCGGUUGCUUGCAACCGAUGAUGGCGACCGGCGCACGGGUGAGUAACGCGUAUCCAACCUACCCUUGUCCAUCGGAUAACCCGUCGAAAGGCGGCCUAACACGAUAUGCGGUUCUCAGCAGGCAUCUAACGAGAACGAAAUGUGAAGGAGAAGGAUGGGGAUGCGUCUGAUUAGCUUGUUGGCGGGGUAACGGCCCACCAAGGCGACGAUCAGUAGGGGUUCUGAGAGGAAGGUCCCCCACAUUGGAACUGAGACACGGUCCAAACUCCUACGGGAGGCAGCAGUGAGGAAUAUUGGUCAAUGGACGGGAGUCUGAACCAGCCAAGUAGCGUGCAGGAUGACGGCCCUAUGGGUUGUAAACUGCUUUUAUAGGGGGAUAAAGUGUGCCACGUGUGGCAUAUUGCAGGUACCCUAUGAAUAAGGACCGGCUAAUUCCGUGCCAGCAGCCG
rnacentral:rRNA from 1 species